AGAUAUGCGUUGAAACGGAAGGUUGCUGUCGGUAUGACAGGUAAUUUCCGUGGAGUAUGUCCGAUUUUAAACCGGGCGA
rfam:Ruminococcus flavefaciens 007c Rf007c_contig00916, whole genome shotgun sequence.